AUAUUGUAGGAAGUGCUAAGGAAACAAGCAGAGUUGGGUGAAGAAGCAACAACUAAAUCUGACAUGGUGGGCUGGAUGACUAAAGAGGACAAGUAGCAUUUGCAUAUUUUCAAUCCAGGUGCCUGAUUCAAAUGCUCCACUGAAAGCCAUUGCUCCCGGUGGGUUUUGUAGCAGCCUUCUGGAAAUGGAACUGGGACUUUUGGUGUUAUAGUGUAAUGAUUCUGAAGAUAUUUGGUCAGCCUUCUGAGGUCUGCAGGAGGUAAUCAUUCAAUAACGGUGCUAUCAAUAAUACUUAUGAAAAAUCAAGCCUAAUGGUUGUCGGAUGGUGUUUUAUAACACUAGCAGAUAAAAACAGAAGUGCGUGCUGUGCAGGCUUCUUGAAGAAGGUACUUAGUGUGAUCCCAAAUACUUUGUCUGAUUAUACAACACCUGAAAUAAAUCAAAUCCAGUUUAGUGUUUCUGUUGCUAUUUGCUUUGCUCAUUCUCACUUUUAAUCUAAGUGCAGUUUUUAGUAUUCUACAAAAGAAUGGUUGUCUUUCUGAUAAUGCACCAACAAAAAUACUAAUAAAACCUUCGGAGAACUUUAUAUUCAGAUAUCUAAUUGUUCACCUGUGUAAAAAGGAGUCUCAGAGUCAUUCAUAAUAUCUACUAUAUGCAAAAACUUAAGUGCAUUGUAAAUUCAUUUAGUUAAUAAACAAUCUGUUCCAGCAGAAAGAGCCAGGGCAUACUUGUCUUUCUUCAGUUGUCUAUUUUAACUGUGAGUGACUUGAAUUUAUUUUGUCACCAUCUCUAGACUUACUCUUUACAAAGAGAUGGGAGCAAGAUAAUAUAACUUCUUACAGACCUUUUUGCUGUCUUUAAAUGGUAAUCAGCAAUUUUUCAAAUAAGUUUUAAGUUUUCCUUUACGAUCAUUUCAGAAAGCCAAAUGGAGAAACAGUAGGUGUGAUUGAAUCGUUGAUUAUAAUGGACUAAUUAAUGUAUAUUUAAAAGAUAUUUCAGUUUCUGUCCUCAGUUCAAAAUAAUUUGCAACUUCAUGUACACUAGUUAUGGGAUUAGUAAGUAUUAUAAAUAAAGUCUUAAAAAUUAAUCUUAAAAUUAGUGUGAGAAAUUGUCAAUCAAAAUCUGUAAAUACCUUAAAGGUUUUUUUCAAAUAUUAAAAAAAAUGUAUUAUACAAAACCCUGAUAAACGCAUGCAUAACUUUGAAGAGUAAUUUUCUAUACUGACUUUUUACUGCGAGUGAAGAAUAUUUAUACUGAUCAAUUUUUCAGCAGUUAUUUGUAAAUGCUUACUAUUUUGAAUAGUUUUAUCAUCUGCUUUUAAACAGCUGUAUAAUUAGCUUUUUGUUUUAAGUUAAUUUAUGACUGACAUUUGUAAAUACAUUGAUCAUUGCUGAUAUUCUCUAAACCUCUUGACUUACAUGCUUUUAAUGAGCUACUUAGUAUAUUUGACAUUGCCAUGUCCUACUUAUGUUUAUAUUAAUUUUUCUUGUUCAAUUUAAAAGUAUCUUGUCUUU
rnacentral:lncRNA from 7 species